UAGCUAAAGUGUAAAACAACACAUUAGAAGAUCCCAUCUCAAAACCAUAAGGGCAAUCCAUCGGGGUUACUGUCGAAGGGCUGAGCAUCGCCCAGGAUCGCCGAAAGAAGCCGGACCACUGCAUCCACCAAGUGAGGCUGGAGCACUGUGAGUCGACCACCACCCAUGCUCUCCGAACAUUGCAUCACACGGGCCAUGACUAGCACUUCCAGACAACGCCAUGAACGGAGUCGUGUUCAGAGCCGAGGCAUCUCCGUAUUCACGAUCAAAGCGGUAAUAACACCGUUGGGCUAAGUGCCUAAACUUUCUGCAAAUCUAACAUUGAAUGCGGUUCCUAAACCCUCUGCCAUGGCCACCAGAUGACGAACGACAACCACGACCAGGAUCCAUCAUCGUCGAGGAUGGAGCAGACUCCACAUUUGAAGCGGAAGUCUUAAACUGCACGAGUUAGUCACAUCUUAUACUCCAACAGCACAUCUACUAAUCAGCGAAGAAUGAGGUGAAGGUAAGAACAAUGUCAAAUUCUAGAGGUAGGCCUGUAAGAACAACUUUGACUUUGUCUGUUUUCGAGAUCCGAGAGCCAGAGGCCUUGAUCAGGGCGCAUAUGUUCUGAAUUUUGGCAACAUAUUUGGAAAUAGAAAUAGUACCUAUCUUGAGAGAAUGGAGGUCAUGACAGAUGCGUGAUAGUUUCACACCAGUGACUACCGCAAAGAGUAGAGUGGCCAUGUUCCAAACAUCACAGGCCAUGCAAGUGUCUGUAAACAAAGGCAACAGAGGAGAGAUGGUAGAGAGGAGCCACGAUGCAAGCAAUCGGUCUUGUUGAAUAAACGUUGAGGCCUCUGAAUUUGGAACGAGAGAUCCCUCUGGCGACGUCACAAAAUGUGGUGGAGCAGGCAAUGUGCCUUCUAAAAAUCCGGUCAGUUCAUAGCCUUCAAUAAUCAGGCGAAUAUGCUACUGCUAUUGAACAAAAUUUCUAGCAGCCAACUUAACAAUGUCAUAGUAAGGGAAGGAUUAAACAAUUCGAGCUCAGGUGAAAGUUGGACAGCUGUGCUUGAUAGAGUCAGAGUUAGAGGAGGCAUUGAUAGCCAUUGAAGCAAACAAGAAUCAGGUCUCCAGAAUCACGGCUACUGAUACUAUGUAAGUAGCUCUAUAGAGUUUAACAAAAGAAGAAAUACUGAAAUACUGAAUUGUUUUAUAUUCAAAGAUUGAUUCUUAAUUGUACAAAGGUGGGGCUUAUAUACAAUAGAAGAAUGACUAAUUAUUGCUAACUAAUCUGCUAACAAUAUAACAGACUCUGUUAAUAGACUAACAACCUACACUUUAACACAGAGAGAUCAACAUGGUAAAAGAUAGGAAGAACAAUUUGACCCUGCGUGCACUUGUGGUCUAUGAUCUCAGAGAGUUCAGUCGAACAUGAUUUCGAAGAAGCAUAGUCUUUAGAUAAAACAAUGAUGAAGAGAUUCGAGGAUGCAAUUCCUUGAGACAGUGCUGGUGAAAGUGGCUCCCCUUUCUCUAGUAUAUCUUUAUCGAAGAAGACAUUCAAUCCCUGUCUUUCAAAGCUUUGAGUAGAUGAGCGGUGAAGUUAUAGCGCGUGUCUUCACCUCUGAAGCUUAAGAAAACUUGAUGGUUCAUUUGAUUAGAAGAGGAAAAAGAAUAAGCCAUGAAAGAAUAAGCCAUGAAAGAGUAGUUAAGGUGAAAAUGGCCAACCAUGCUGCUGUUAUGUUUUUUGUUAAAGUGCAUGCUGCUAUUAUGAUUUUGUUGAGUGCAAUGCAUGCUGCAGCAAUUGUGCAUGUUGCAGCAACAUAUUUUCUAUUUUAGUUGCAAUGUAAUUUAGUUUGGUUGAAAAUAAACUUAGUUGUUGAUGUUUUGAUGGGUUUAGGUGAUGAUUGAGCUGAUAAGUUAGCUUAUUCAUGUGUACAAGCAAUGAAUAGUCCCAAUGCUGAUUAGUGGGAUUAAUUAAAUUUUUAGUGAUGUAUUUUGAUUAUAAAUGCGUUGUUUUCAUAUUGAAUGAGUAAGCAUAUCAAUUGUAUAAAGCAGAUUGUUUUCUUGCUGCACAUUUGUGAGCAAGCAAAUUGUUGAAUGCCUCAUUACUGCACGCUUGUAAACAAG
rnacentral:lncRNA from 1 species